AGUUUUAAAAACGCGCAUUCCAAAACAAUAAUACUCAAUCAAUGAUAGCAAUGAGCCAAUAACCAAAUGGGACGUUACAUUGGCUGGAAGGGGGAUGUGACAACCCUGUUUACAAAUGUAGCGAUUGAUUCUUCCAAUGCUGUUUGAGCCGAGCACCCCGAGUGCCGUGGACGUACGCUCUCACAACAGACCAACCCGCAUCGCAGCUCCAACUUCAUUCAUCAUCAUCAAUUCAUGAUCUGCAUAUGAAGAAGAGCGGUCACUGCAGACGCCGAAGGAUGGGGUAUGAAUCGUGCCUAGAAGGAAGUUCCAAGUUCAAGUUUAAACGCAAGUGAUGAUCCUACUCCCGUACGGAUACACGGUGAUUCAUUGACGAUAAACAUAUUCACCGAGGAUAGUUUAGAUUGGGCACGUCGAGCGCUCUGAUUGUUAAUAAAAUACCUAUGUCAUCUGUCAAAGCUGUCAGUCAACGUUUACAAGACCUACGACAUCGACAUGACACGUCACUGUAUCACAUAGGGCGAUGACAUUGACAUUGAGGGAACGUUAUGUCGAUUGAUUGUGAAUUUGAACCGUAAUAUGUGUUUUGGUAAAAAAAAAAAAUUAAAACUGACCCAUAUCUCGAAACGAGGAGGAAACGAGACCGACAAAAAAAAAACAAACAAACAAACAGAAAAAAUUGAAAAACCGGAAACGCAUAUUUAUAAAAAUGCCGAGCGCCAAUCCAUUAAUAACUGCAUUGUAUUUAUUAGAA